CAAAAAUACUUGCUUCUCUCGAAUCAGUGAAAAUCUAUGUUUGAUAAACAAUUGGAGGCGCAAGAGCAUGAAGAAAAGGACACUGGCAGGCAGGCAAACAAAUGAAGCAGGACACGCGCACAGAGAAGGAGUGUCCAAGGGCUUUCAGUGCGGCGUAACACGAAAAGGUGCGGACACUGGGACAAAGAGCUGCGAACCACUCACCUGGCUCUGAUUGGGAAAUCUUUGCCGCAAACAGAGACUACCAGUGGACUAAGCGCUUCUCCUAAUGGAGCAGCCAUAGUUGAGCCUUAAAGACUUGAGCGGGAUUCUUGGUGUCUUUCUAUUCAGUUUACAGGGAAUUAUCACCGUCUUUUGCUAGUAGUUUUGUCAACAGCAAUACGUAGUUGUUGGGAUUUGAAAUUUUAGGUUCAAAACAUUCAAAAAGCAUAGCAAACGAUAAAUACAGAAAAAAGUUAUUUUCAAAGUUGACUUUAUCAUGAAAGUUUUCGGCCAAAGACACGCCGGCGAACAGGUGCACAAAUCUUGUUGCUCCGUUACAGAAUAUUCAUCAACGGCAAAUGGCCAGACAUUUAAAGGGGCCAAUAAAAAGUGCAACAAAUAUUUGUGACGCCGUAAAGUGACAGCUCUUCGGGCUGUUUUCAAAAGGGGGCUACACCUCCCAGCCAUCCAAACAAGCGGCGCACAUAAACAAUGAAAUCGCUUUGACCAAACGACUCCAAAAAGUGGCACACGAGCUACCUUUCAAUUUUUCAUAUAUAUGUAUAUUUUUGUAUAUAUAGGGGCCCGUAUAAACCCAUCCACAGAUAUCAA